UAGCAAUACCAACCGGCGAACGGGUGCGUAACACGUGAGCAACAUUCCGAUUUCUGGGGGAUAGCCGGCCCAACGGCCGGGUAAUACCGCAUACGCUCGUUGAGAGGAGUCUCUCGACGAGGAAACCUCCGGGGGAAAUCGAGUGGCUCGCGGCCUAUCAGCUAGUUGGUGAGGUAACGGCUCACCAAGGCUAUGACGGGUAGCUGGUCUGAGAGGAUGGCCAGCCACAUUGGGACUGAGAAACGGCCCAGACUCCUACGGGAGGCAGCAGUGGGGAAUCUUGCGCAAUGGUCGAAAGACUGACGCAGCGACGCCGCGUGCGGGAGGAAGCUCUUCGGGGUGUAAACCGCUGUUGCCCGGAACGAAACUCCAGAUUCGUCUGGAUUGACGGUACCGGGUGAGGAAGCGCCGGCUAACUCUGUGCCAGCAGCCGCGGUAAUACAGAGGGCGCGAGCGUUGUCCGGAAUCACUGGGCGUAAAGGGCGCGUAGGUGGCCACUAUAAGGACGCGGUGAAAGUUCGGGGCUCAACCCCGAAUCUGCCGCGUCGACUGUAGGGCUCGGGCACUGUAGAGGCAGAUGGAAUUCCGGGUGUAGCGGUGGAAUGCGUAGAGAAGAACACCAGUGGCGAAGCGGUCUGCUGGGCAGUGGGANCGCNAGCUCCUUAUAGCCGACACUGANGCGCGACNGCGNGNGGAGCAAACAGGA
rnacentral:rRNA from 1 species